rnacentral:rRNA from 1 species
CAAUAGCGUAUAUUAAAGUUGUUGCAGUUAAAAAGCUCGUAGUUGGAUUUCUGGUUGAAGCGACCGGUCGGGCGUUGAUUCGUCUGCACUGGAGUCGGUUUUGGCCAUCCUCUAGGAAAGUGCGUCUGGUAUUAAGUUAUCGGGCGUAUGAUCCUGGUCUUUUACUGUGAAAAAAUUAGAGUGUUUAAAGCAGGCCUUCGCCUUGAAUACAUUAGCAUGGAAUAAUAAGAUAGGACUUUGGUCUAUCUUGUUGGUUUGCAGACCGAAGUAAUGAUUAAUAGGGAUAGUUGGGGGUAUUUAUAUUCCGAUGUCAGAGGUGAAAUUCUUAGAUUUUCGGAAGAUAAACUUAUGCGAAAGCAUUUACCAAGGAUGUUUNCAUUA